rnacentral:rRNA from 1 species
UACAGAGGGGGCAAGCGUUGUUCGGAAUUACUGGGCGUAAAGGGCGCGUAGGCGGCCCGCUAAGUCGAACGUGAAAUCCCCGAGCUCAACUCGGGAACUGCGUCCGAUACUGGCGGGCUUGAAUCCGGGAGAGGGAUGCGGAAUUCCAGGUGUAGCGGUGAAAUGCGUAGAUAUCUGGAGGAACACCGGUGGCGAAGGCGGCAUCCUGGACCGGCAUUGACGCUGAGGCGCGGAAGCUGGGGGAGCAAACGGG